GGGAGCGACUUGGCUUCGACAGGAGUAAGUCUGCUUAGAUGGCAUGUCGCUUUGGGCAAAGCGUAAAAAACCCAAAUAAAAUUAAACGCAAACAACGUUAAAUUCGCUCCUGCUUACGCUAAAGCUGCGUAAGUUCAGUUGAGCCUGAAAUUUAAGUCAUACUAUCUAGCUUAAUUUUCGGUCAUUUUUGAUAGUGUAGCCUUGCGUUUGACAAGCGUUGAGGUGAAAUAAAGUCUUAGCCUUGCUUUUGAGUUUUGGAAGAUGAGCGAAGUAGGGUGAAGUAGUCAUCUUUGCUAAGCAUGUAGAGGUCUUUGUGGGAUUAUUUUUGGACAGGGGUUCGAUUCCCCUCGCUUCCACCA
rnacentral:tmRNA from 1 species